AGCGUUUGACUGCAACAGCACGCUCAUCUCGUAGUUUUCCGUAGUAUACUGUGCCAAAACGCCUAUCUCCAAGUUCCUUAGCAGAAUCAAAAUUGUUAGUAGCCUCUUCAAGUUCCGCAUAAGUGAAAAGAAAGACCCCAAAGUAGAGUCCUCCUUUCUCAGUAUCUGAAUUUGAAGAGAAGUAUGAUGUGGUGCUUUGAGAGACAAAGGAAGAUGGAGCAUAUGGUUUUCUC
rnacentral:misc_RNA from 1 species